rnacentral:rRNA from 1 species
AAGGGCCAUCGCUCAACGGAUAAAAGGUACUCCGGGGAUAACAGGCUGAUACCGCCCAAGAGUUCAUAUCGACGGCGGUGUUUGGCACCUCGAUGUCGGCUCAUCACAUCCUGGGGCUGAAGUAGGUCCCAAGGGUAUGGCUGUUCGCCAUUUAAAGUGGUACGCGAGCUGGGUUUAGAACGUCGUGAGACAGUUCGGUCCCUAUCUGCCGUGGGCGCUGGAGAACUGAGGGGGGCUGCUCCUAGUACGAGAGGACCGGAGUGGACGCAUCACUGGUGUUCGGGUUGUCAUGCCAAUGGCACUGCCCGGUAGCUAAAUGCGGAAGAGAUAAGUGCUGAAAGCAUCUAAGCACGAAACUUGCC